UUGAAUUCUGUUGGACAUUAUCCAGAAAAGAGACGAUGAACUACAAAAGAGACAUUACUGUUAUAAACAGACAAGCUUCAUUCUAACAUAUAAUGAACUAUGACCCAUCUUGACAGAUCCAGAUAAGAAUUCAAGCCCAUGAUCAGGUGAAAGUCCACAAUGCAAUGACUUGAAAACCAAAAAUCCAUGGGCAUAAGGCAUUAGCUCACGUUGCGUGGACCCUAAUUCCUUCCACACCAUCUACCAUCCCCAAAAGGAAUUGGAGAACGCCCAAAUCAGUAGGGAGAAAAAAAGACAGGCCACAAAGAACUCAAGCCCAUGAUCAGGUGAAAGUCCACAAUGCAAUGACUUGAAAACCAAAAAUCCAUGGGCAUAAGGCAUUAGCUCACGUUGCGUGGACCCUAAUUCCUUCCAC
rnacentral:lncRNA from 1 species